UACGAAGGGGGCUAGCGUUGCUCGGAAUCACUGGGCGUAAAGGGUGCGUAGGCGGGUCUUUAAGUCAGGGGUGAAAGCCCGGAGCUCAACUCCGGAACUGCCAUUGAAACUGUGAAACUUGAGGAUGAGAGAGGUGAGUGGAAUUCCCAGUGUAGAGGUGAAAUUCGUAGAUAUUGGGAAGAACACCGGUGGCGAAGGCGGCUCACUGGCUCAUUUCUGACGCUCAGGCGCGACAGCGUGGGGAUCAAACAGG
rnacentral:rRNA from 1 species